rnacentral:rRNA from 1 species
AUGGGGAGGCGGAAGGAGCGCCGCCUGGCGGCCAAGGCGGCCUCGGGCCGCAGGGUCAAGCUCGACCUCUUCCUCGAUCCUUCCCCCGGGGAGGCAUCUAUGAAAGAGGGAGUAGGAGAGGAAAACCGUGGGCAGCAAACUGGUGUUCCCACUUCACCAUCUUCGUCAGAUAAGAAGGAAAAUCCUCUAGCGUUGCUUGGGCAAUAUAGUGAUGAUGAAGAAGAGGAUGAAGUAGCAACAGAUCAACCCAUUGGUGAAACUAAGGGGAGCCCAACAGAUGCAAGUGCUGAGGUUAUUCAUGAUCAGGGUGAUAUAACUGGGGAUAACGGCGAUGCAGAUAGUGAACUGCCUGCUUCUGUUAGUGUUCAGCAGGAGGUAUCUCAAGCUGAUGAUGUCAAAAUUAUCACAGAAACCGUUGCUCAGGAAUUUACUGUUGCCCCUGAUCCAACUCUGGAAAAUGAGUGUGUGACAGCAAUGGAAGCUGUCCCAGAUUCAUCUGGCAUGCAAAUUGUUGGUGACAUUGGUGGGAAUUGGAAGGCUAUAAUGCAUGAACAGAGUAAUCAGUGCUACUACUGGAACACAGUUACAGGAGAAACUUCUUGGGAGAUUCCUAAUGGAUUAGCUUCAGUAGUUGCUGCCGAUGGAGUCACUUCUGCAUCUGUGCCUACUCAUAUGGGGUACUCUGUCGAAGCUCAAGCACAUGUCCUUCCCCACAGUAAUGUCGAAGCAUAUCCUAGUGACGUGUCUGUUGGAAAUGGCACAGCAACCUAUACUGCUAUGGGAACUUAUACUCAUGAUCCUUAUGCUUACACUGGAGCCGUUGCUAGUCAUGAGACAGUGGACAUUGACCCCUUGCAGCUUGCAAAAUAUGGUGAGGAUUUACUGCAAAGACUGAAGCUGCUGGAAAGGCCACAUGUUGCCAUUGACAGUCUUGAGUUGAUAAAAAGAGAAAUUGAGAUACGAAUAGCAGACUGUAAUGCCCUCUCCUCGUAUGGAUCUUCUUUACUUCCGUUGUGGUUGCAUGCUGAGGUGCACCUUAAGCAACUAGAACUUUCAGUUUCCAAGUUUGAAGCUAGCUACACCACCAAACAUGGAUAUCGGGAGACAGUGGAUGCAGGACACAAAGCACCUAAUGAAGCUGAAGUUAUGGCACCCUCUGAGGGUGAGCAUUUGAAGGUUGAUGUUAGCACUCUGGGAAUAGGUACUGGCGAUGAAAAUAUUAAGGUUGAGGAACCAUGUACAACAUCAUCUGUUCAGAACUCACAAGGUGUGGCAGCAGCUAUUUUAAGAGUUGAAUCAGAUAGUGAUGAAGAUAUGGACGUGGAAAUGGAGGUCGAUGAAGAAGGUGUUGAAGAGCAGGGCGGUUCCACUUCUAUGGCAAAUAAGGAGCAUCCUUCAUCAGAGCAAGUGCGAUCACCAGCUUUGUCAUCAUUGGAGGAUUCUGCUCCUCCCCCACAGGAUAAUGACAUUCCUCCACCACCACCACCAGAAGAGGAAUGGAUUCCACCUCCACCACCUGAGAAUGAACCAGCUCCUCCACCUCCUCCUGAGCCUGAAGAGCCCGCUGUGUCAUUUGUUAAUGCUGAUACACUUCCUCAGCCAUAUGGAGAUCAAGCAAACUUGGGUUAUACGCUUCCAGGAAUGGAGUACUAUCCUGCUGCUGGUACAGAUGGCACCAAUGCCAACUACUAUAUGCAAGCAAGCGAUUCUCAUAUUCUUCAAUCACAGCAGCAUUCUUACUAUGCACCAUUGUCUGCAAGUGGCGUAUCUAUUCCUGUUGAGACCACAUCCAUCCCCCCAGUACCAGGUUCUUAUUAUAGCUAUCCUUCCGUCACUAUGGCUGCCACUGAAGUAGCGGCUGAAUCUUCUGGAUACUAUGCUUCAUCAACCUCUGCCAUUUCUAGUGGUGAAUUAGAUAACAAAACAAGCUUGGCCUCCCUUGUUGCAAAUAGUAAUGUGAAUACUGUGGAGUCUGAUAAAGUGAUAUCCAAGGAGCCCACAGUUGCGUCUUUGAGCCAAUCAGUAGGAGCAGUAUCUUCAGGACCAACAGUACAUGGAAGUUCUACUCAAGCUUCUACUAGCUCCACUAAUCAGACUAAAGUUCCUCGUACUAAGAAGCGACCUGUUGCUGUUGCAUCAUCACUGAGAUCUAAUAAGAAGGUCUCAAGUCUGGUGGAUAAGGCAGAGCAAUCUGUUUACAUGUGGAAAGCUGCAAAGGAGGAGCUUCGUGAUGAAGAGGAAGAGGAGCCUGAAGAUGCUUUGGAGUACCUAGAAAGGAAACGCCGGAAGGAAAUAGAUGGGUGGCGUAAGCAACAAAUAGCUAGUGGAGAAGCCAAGGAAAAUGCUAAUUUUGUUCCCCUUGGUGGUGACUGGCGUGACCGUGUAAAACGCAAAAGAGCUGAAGCAAAGAAGGAAGCAAAGACUGAACCUAUUCGUGCAGCUGCCGAACAACACAAAGGGGAGCCUGAUCUCUCAGAGCUCUCCAAGGGUUUUCCUUCUGGGUGGCAGGCAUACAUAGACGAGUCUACGAAGCAAGUGUACUAUGGGAACAACCUCACUUCCGAGACGACUUGGGAUCGGCCUAGCAAAUAA